rnacentral:rRNA from 1 species
GUGCCAGCAGCCGCGGUAAUACGGAGGAUGCAAGCGUUAUCCGGAUUUAUUGGGUUUAAAGGGUGCGUAGGCUGUGCAGCAAGUCAGAGGUGAAAGCCCGGUGCUUAACACCGGAACUGCCUUUGAUACUGUUGUGCUGGAAUACGGAUGCCGUGGGAGGAAUGAGUAGUGUAGCGGUGAAAUGCAUAGAUAUUACUCAGAAUACCGAUUGCGAAGGCAUCUCACGAAUCCGUCAUUGACGCUGAGGCACGAAAGUGUGGGGAUCAAACAGGAUUAGAUACCCUGGUAGUCCACACUGUAAACGAUGAUAACUAACCGUCGGCGAUAGACAGUCGGUGGCCAAGCGAAAGCGAUAAGUUAUCCACCUGGGGAGUACGACCGCAAGGUUGAAACUCAAAGGAAUUGACGGGGGCCCGCACAAGCGGAGGAACAUGUGGUUUAAUUCGAUGAUACGCGAGGAACCUUACCCGGGCUCGAACGGCAAGUGAAGGCGAUAGAGAUAUCAACGUCCUUCGGGACACUUGUCGAGGUGCUGCAUGGUUGUCGUCAGCUCGUGCCGUGAGGUGUCGGCUCAAGUGCCAUAACGAGCGCAACCCUUGUCGUUAGUUACCAUCAGGUCAAGCUGGGGACUCUAACGAGACUGCCACCGCAAGGUGAGAGGAAGGAGGGGAUGACGUCAAAUCAGCACGGCCCUUACGUCCGGGGCGACACACGUGUUACAAUGACGGUUACAGAGGGAAGCCACCCAGCGAUGGGGAGCAGAUCUCGAAAAACCGUCUCAGUUCGGAUUGGAGUCUGCAACUCGACUCCAUGAAGCUGGAUUCGCUAGUAAUCGCGCAUCAGCCAUGGCGCGGUGAAUACGUUCCCGGGCCUUGUACACACCGCCCGU